rnacentral:rRNA from 1 species
GGAGUCUGGGCCGUAUCUCAGUCCCAAUGUGGCCGUUGAACCUCUCAGUCCGGCUACUGAUCGUCGUCUUGGUAGGCCGUUACCCCACCAACUAACUAAUCAGGCGCAAGCCCAUCUGUUAGCGGAUUGCUCCUUUCCCACUAUGGAGAUGUCUCCAUUAUGGCAUAUGCGGUAUUAGCAACGAUUUCUCGCUGUUAUUCCCCUCUAACAGGCAGGUUGCUUACGUGUUACUCACCAGUCCGCCACUAAAGCCAUUGUUGUAAGUCAAUAUCAAAUCCCAUUGAACAAGUUCUCAGUUCAUGUCAACAUCAUUACAACGACUUCCGUUCGACUUGCAUGUCUUAUGUGCGCCGCCAGCGUUUAUC